AAUCAACGCUGGCGGCGUGCCUCAGACAUGCAAGUCGAACGAUUAAAGCUCUCUUCGGAGAGUGUAUAGAGUGGCGCACGGGUGAGUAACACGUAAGUAAUCUACCUUCGAGUGGGAGUAACGUCCGGAACGGACGCUAAUACGCAUAAUGCAGCGGCAUCGCAAGAUGACAGUUGUUAAAGAAUUUAUUCGCUUGAAGAGGAGCUUGCGGCAGAUUA
rnacentral:rRNA from 1 species